GCCGGGUAUGGGGGUGUGUGCCUGCAGUUCCAGCUACUUGGAAGGCUGAGGUGGAAGGAUUGCCUGAGCCCAGCAGGUCGAGGCUGAGGUAGCCAUGAGCAUGCUACUGCACUCCAGCCUGGACAACAGAGUGAGACUCCAACUCAAAAAAAAAAAAAAAAAAAAGAUACUGUCUACAGACCUCUUUUUUUUUUUUGAGUUGGAGUCCCACUCUGGUGUCCAGGCUGGAGGGCAGGAGCAUGGUCAUGGCUACCUCAGCCUCGACCUGGUGGGCUCAGGCAAUCCUUUCACCUCA
rnacentral:sRNA from 1 species